GACGAACGCUGGCGGCGUGCUUAACACAUGCCAGUCGAACGAUGAAGCGGGUGCUUGCACUCGUGGAUUAGUGGCGAACGGGCGAGUAACACGUGAGUAACCUGUCCUUUUCUUUGGGAUAACGGCUGGAAACGGCUGCUAAUACUGGAUAUUCAGGCUGCAUCGCAUGGUGUGGUUUGGAAAGGUUUUUUCUGGGAUUGGGUGGGCUCGCGGCCUAUCAGCUUGUUGGUGGGGUGAUGGCUUACCAAGGCUUUGACGGGUAGCCGGCCUGAGAGGGUGGUCGGUGGCACUGGGACUGAGAUACGGCCCAGACUCCUACGGGAGGCAGCAGUGGGGAAUAUUGCAACAUGGAAGAAAGUUUGAUGCCGCGGCGCCGCGUGGAGGGUGUAGGCCUUCGGGUUGUGAACUCCUUUUUCUCGCGAAAAAGGCACAGUUUUGGCUGUGUUGAUGGUAGUGGGGGAAGAAGCGCCGGCUAACUACGUG
rnacentral:rRNA from 1 species